rnacentral:snoRNA from 1 species
ACCAAGAUGAUGAAACAGAUUUUUUAAUAUCUAAAUUUCAUGUAGAACCUCAUAUCAUGCCUUCAAAGUCCUCUGAUUGCU